rnacentral:rRNA from 1 species
UACGUAGGGUGCAAGCGUUAAUCGGAAUUACUGGGCGUAAAGCGCGCGUAGGCGGCUUUGCAAGUCGGGUGUGAAAUCCCCAGGCUUAACCUGGGAACUGCAUUCGAGACUGCAUUGCUAGAGUAUGGGAGAGGGAGGUGGAAUUUCCGGUGUAGCGGUGAAAUGCGUAGAUAUCGGAAGGAACGCCGGUGGCGAAAGCGAGCUGCUGGAUCCCUCCUGACGCUGAGGCGCGAAAGCCAGGGGAGCGAACGGG